UAUACAAAUAAUUUCUUUAAGCUGAAUCAUCUGAAUUAAACAUGUGUCACACAGACAUUUGGGUCAAAGAGACACAUCGAUGAACCUCCGCAAUCCGAAAAUGACAAUAAGAAGAAAACUGAGUGGAAUCAAACAAAAUAUGUUACACAUGAGCUGCCAUCAUCUGUGACCCAUGAGCCCAUCUAUGUUUCUCCGAUAAAACUGAAGAGUAAGGAGACGGAAAUAACAAAAAUAAAUCAUGAAGAUGACGACACAGAUGAAUUGUCAGAAUGAAUAUCAACUCAGGCUUCAUCCUCAACUCCAGCUGAGCGCUAACUGCC
rnacentral:lncRNA from 1 species